CUCAACAAACCAUAAAGAUAUUGGCUCAUUUUUGGAAUUUGAUCGGGUCUUUUAGGUACCUCCUUAAGUUUAAUAAUUCGAACAGAACUAGGACAACCAGGAUCUCUCCUAAAUGACGAUCAACUAUAUAAUGUAAUUGUUACAGCUCACGCAUUUGUUAUAAUUUUUUUUCUUGUUAUACCUGUUAUAAUUGGCGGAUUUGGAAAUUGACUAGUACCUUCAAUACUAGGGGCACCAGACAUAGCAUUUCCACGAAUAAAUAAUAUAAGUUUUUGACUCUUGCCUCCUUCUCUUACUCUUCUUCUUUCAUCUGCUGCAGUUGAAAGAGGUGUAGGUACCGGAUGAACCGUUUACCCACCUCUUUCAAGAAAUUUAGCCCACAUAGGACCUUCUAUUGACCUGGCUAUUUUCUCACUACAUCUUGCUGGUGG